GAUUGCUUGGAUUUGCUUGGGAUGUGCUUCAAUUCAUCGUUGGGUUACUAAGUACCCUAAGAAUCGGCCUGAAGAUACUCCAAAUGUGCACUUGGUGGGGUUGAGCUUCAUCUUGUACCUUCUAAGGAUAUUGAAAGUUUCUGCUAAAUUACGAAUGUGAUCUGACCGCUGCUUGCCCUUUACCAUGAUAUCGUCGACAUAGACCUCCAUGGUUACCCCAAUUUGCUUUUUGAAC
rnacentral:lncRNA from 1 species